rnacentral:rRNA from 1 species
AGAGAAUAGAUACCCAGGUAGUCCUGGCCUUAAACGAUGGGCACUAGGUAGUGGGCUCGACCUGGGCGCACUGCCGCAGCGAAAGUCAUUAGUGCCCCGCCUGGGGAGUAUGGUCGCAAGGCUGAAACUCAAAGGAAUUGACGGGGGCUCACACAAGCGGUGGAGCAUGUGGCUUAAUUCGAGGCUACGCGAAGAACCUUACCCAGGCUUGACAUGUGCGAAAGCGCCUGGUGUACCUAGGGGAAACCCUAGGGAACCCCGCAAGGGGGACCGACGUAGACGUGCUGCAUGGCGUGUCGUCAGCUCGUGUCGUGAGAUGUCGGGUUAA